CAACGGCCGCGGUACCCUAACCGUGCGAAGGUAGCAUAAUCACUUGUUCUUUAAAUAGGGACUAGUAUCAACGGCAUCACGAGGGUUACACUGUCUCCUUUCUCCAAUCAGUGAAACUGAUCUCCCCAUGAAGAAGCGGGGAUAUAACUAUUAGACGAGAAGACCCCAUGGAGCUUUAAGCUCAACAACAAUUUUUAUGAAAAUAAUUCCUCAUAGUAUACAGACCCUGUUUGUUAGCUUUAGGUUGGGGUGACCGCGGAGUAUAAUUUAACCUCCACAACGAAAGGGCAUAAAACCCUUAUCCAAGAGCCACUGCUCUAAGAAUCACCAAAUUGACGUAUAAUGAUCCGAUUUUCGAUCAACGGACCAAGUUACCCUGGGGAUAACAGCGCAAUCCAUUUUUAGAGCCCCUAUCGACAAA
rnacentral:rRNA from 1 species